AGAAAAACCAAAUCCGACCAAAAUUCGAGUCCCGAAAUCCGAAGCUCAUGAAGAGAAAAUUGUUGUACGUCGCGUUGGCUUCAAUUUGAGCUAGAAAUCAGCCAAUAAGGAGAAGAUUUUAUGUGGUGCUGCAAAUUUAAGGUUGAGACAAUAUUGGACAACAUAUACGUAUAAACGCUAAAGGUACAGAUACUCAUUUUGGAGAGCCGCCACCUUAGGAUUCUACUCAACGG